rnacentral:rRNA from 1 species
UACGUAGGGUGCGAGCGUUGCCCGGAUUUAUUGGGCGUAAAGGGCGCGUAGGCGGCUCGGCACGUCCGUUGUGAAAUCGCCCGGCUCAACUGGGCGGGGUCAGCGGAUACGGUCGAGCUUGAGCAAGCUAGGGGGUAAUGGAAUUCCCGGUGUAGUGGUGGAAUGCGUAGAUAUCCGGAGGAACACCGGUGGCGAAGGCGGCUUCCUGGACCGACACUGACGCUGAGGCGCGAAAGCUAGGGGAGCAAGCGGG